GGCCAGUGAAGGUGUGGCCUAAUGGAUAAGGCGUCGGACUUCGGAUCCGAAGAUUGCAGGUUCGAAUCCUGUGACGGUCG